rnacentral:rRNA from 1 species
UACGUAGGUGGCAAGCGUUGUCCGGAUUUACUGGGCGUAAAGGGCUCGUAGGCGGCCAACUAAGUCAGACGUGAAAUCCCCAGGCUUAACCUGGGAACUGCGUUUGAUACUGGAUGGCUUGAGAUUGGGAGAGGGAUGCGGAAUUCCAGGUGUAGCGGUGAAAUGCGUAGAUAUCUGGAGGAACACCGGUGGCGAAGGCGACAUCCUGGACCAACACUGACGCUGAGGAGCGAAAGCCAGGGGAGCAAACGGG